rnacentral:rRNA from 1 species
CGGGAGGCAGCAGCAGGGAAUAUUGUGCAAUGAACGAAAGUUUGACACAGCGACACCGCGUGUGGGAUGACGGAUCUAGGUUUGUAAACCACUUUCAGGAGGGAAGAAAAUGACGGUACCUCCAUAAGAAGCCCCGGCCAACUACGUGCCAGCAGCCGCGGUAAUACGUAGGGGGCGAGCGUUGUCCGGAUUUAUUGGGCGUAAAGAGCUCGUAGGCGGUUCAACAAGUCGGUCGUGAAAGUUCAGGGCUCAACCCUGAAAUGUCGAUCGAUACUGUUGUGACUAGGAUACGGUAGAGGUGAGUGGAAUUCCGAGUGUAGCGGUGAAAUGCGUAGAUAUUCGGAGGAACACCAAUUGCGAAGGCAGCUCACUGGGCCGCUAUCGACGCUGAGGAGCGAAAGCUAGGGGAGCAAACAGGAUUAGAUACCCUGGUAGUCCUAGCUGUAAACGAUGGAUACUAGACGUAGGAACUGGAUUGACGGUUUCUGUGUCGCAGCUAACGCGUUAAGUAUCCCGCCUGGGGAGUACGGUCGCAAGACUAAAACUCAAAGGAAUUG